GUCUUUUUGGCAUAAACCUGUACUUGUCUUCCAGAUAAUCAGAGAAACUUGGUGAGCAGUGUCUUAUAUUGACUGAUAGUGUAGGAGGUAUCAUAGAUCUUUCUGAUAUUUAGUUGGUUUUGUGCCUCCACCAAAUCAUAGCUGCUGAGGCUGAAUGGUGAACUUUGUCUCAUGAUAAGAUAAGAAUUAACAGGCACAGCAGAUUUACAUGAGUUGGAUUGAAGUCAAGUCUGUCAGCACAGUCCAUUGGCACAGCAAAAAGAUGAAGAUGCUAGGAAUAGACCUGAGUUUGAGCUGUCCUUGGAUCUGGCAAUGUUACAUCCUUCCUAGAAAAGAGACAGUAAUACCUUCUGUGAAAAUCACAUCUUUGAGGAAAAAAAAAAACCCCUCAAAUGUUUUCAGUUUCCUGCUUCCUGCAUGUAUAAGAUUAAAAAAAAAAAAAAAAAAACAAGCUUCCACAAAACAGCUAAAACAGCUAUGCCUCCUUUCAUAAUAGAGCGGAUAGAAAGCUUUGGUUUUGACCAAAUUAAAAAGGGGACACUGGUACUUGUUGUGAAGCAUGUAUCCUGUCCUCUACAGAAGAAGGAGAGCUGCAAACAGAGCCUUUUUCUCUACACUGUGAUACUCGGCUGGACUCAGUACUUGGAAACACGAUUCCGCAUGUGUUUAACUUUCGAUGCACGAAUAAUUCAGCUGAAGUCAAGCUCACAUGAGAUUCCACACGCCCUUCUUGGGAAAGUAGUCAUUACUGCUGGGAAUAUUCCGUGGAGCUACAUGUACGAGGGCCACCUAUAUUGAGAACAAAUAUAGACAGUGUUGCCAGGGAACCCCAAGAGAUUUGAGAGCACACGACAGCAAGAACAGACUGAAAGGGUCUGUCCUGUACUGCUUACACUGCAGAACUACACACUCUGGAUUAUAAUCAGCCCCUUGAGGGCUGCCAGUUUAUCCUGCUUGUAUUUCACUGCAAAUCAUUCUUCUCUGCUGGGUGUAUAGCUGCUGUGACACUGCUGAGGUCAUUUUACUUGAGCCAAGGUAGCAGUCAUUACAAUGAAUAACUUCUUUGGCCAAACAUUGACAUCUUUAUGGUGAAAGUAAUUUUUGAGUACCUGGAGUGCAGCACAUCCUUAUUUAUUUUUGUGUCAGAAGUUUUUUAAGGUUUUGGCUACAGCAUUAAAACUAGUCAUUCAGGUAGAUCAUAUUAACUAGCCAGCUUUCUUCUCUCUGUCACUGUUCUCACAAGUCUACCUUUGCACAAGGGUCAGAAUGUUGCUAUUUGUGUAGUUCUGGUUGGUUUUGGAUCAUGUCACCACUUAUUUUCUUCUUUUAUUAAAGCUUCUUAGAAAUCAAGAUUCUUGUCUUCUCCCUCAGGGCAUUUCUUAUUUUAACUCAUCUGCUGAAGAGGACAGCUGUAGUUGUUAUUCAGGAAGAGAGCCACUGAGCUCAAAGACCAUCUAUGCAAAUUUUCUACUCUUUGCACCUUAUUUUAUUGUUGUGGUGUUGCCUCUACCUCUCUUGUCUGAGCAUUUCUUUCACCAUUUUUUCACCUGCUUCUAUGCUAAAACGCAGGAUGUCCUUUCUGAAUGAGCCGAAGUACUACAAUAAUGACUCUUAGAAUCAUAAAUUUAUAGAAUGUCCUGAGUUGGAAGGAACCCACGAGGAUCAUCGAGUCCAACUCCUGGCCCUGCACAGAGCAGCCUUAAGACUCACACCAUGGCCCAAGAGCACUGUUCAAAUGCUUCUUGAGCCCUGUCAGGCUUGGUGCUGUGACCACUUCCUUGGGGAGCCUGUUCCAGUGCCCAAGAACCUCCUGGGUGAAAAACUUCUUCCUAGUAUCCAAACUAAACCUUCCCUGACUCAGUUUCAUGCCAUUCUCUUGAGUUCUGUCACGGCUCACCAGAGAGAAUGUAUCUGUGUCUGCCCCUCCCCUUCCCCUCUAGAGGAAGUUGUAAAUGCAGUGAGGUCUCCCCUCGGUCUCCUCUCCUCACACAGCUUCCUCUCAAGGCCCUUCACCAUCUUCAUUGCCCUCCCUAGGAUGCUCUCAAAUGCCUUUAUGUCUUUUUUUUA